GGCCCCGUCGUCUAGUGGUCAGGACAACAGGCUUUCAAUCUGUUAACAGGGGUUCGAUUCCCCUCGGGGCUGCCA
rnacentral:tRNA from 1 species